rnacentral:rRNA from 1 species
GACAGAGGGUGCAAACGUUGUUCGGAAUUACUGGGCGUAAAGCGCGUGUAGGCUGCCCUGCAAGUCGGAUGUGAAAGCCCUGGGCUCAACCUAGGAAGUGCAUUCGAAACUGCAGGGCUGGAGUCCUGGAGAGGAAGGCGGAAUUCUCGGUGUAGAGGUGAAAUUCGUAGAUAUCGAGAGGAACACCGGUGGCGAAGGCGGCCUUCUGGACAGUGACUGACGCUGAGACGCGAAAGCGUGGGGAGCAAAAGGG